CUUCAGCGACCCCAGCCACAGGGGCCGGUUCUCGGGACGGUCCUGGCCGUACGCGACGAUCAGGGCCUGGGCCUC
rnacentral:antisense_RNA from 1 species